rnacentral:tRNA from 1 species
GGGGGUAUAGCUCAGUGGUAGAGCACCCGCAUACGUAUCGGAAGGUUGGGGGUUCGACUCCCCCUGCCUCCA